UACGUAGGAGGCAAGCGUUGUCCGGAAUUACUGGGCGUAAAGCGCGUGUAGGUGGUGGGACAAGUCUGCUGUGAAAGCGCCUGGCUUAACCGGGCGAGGUCGGCGGAAACUGUCCGACUAGAGGACGGUAGAGGGGGGUGGAAUUCCCGGUGUAGUGGUGAAAUGCGUAGAGAUCGGGAGGAACACCUGUGGCGAAGGCGGCCUUCUGGACAGUGACUGACGCUGAGACGCGAAAGCGUGGGGAGCAAACAGG
rnacentral:rRNA from 1 species